UCAUAUAAGGAUUAUACGAAGACAGUUGAGAAGGACAAGACACUUUGAUUUGAAAUUUUCAGAAGACACACCACAUCUGUAAUCGUUUUUGCUGGAAAUUCCCAGCAAUGAUUAAUACAUAACUGAAACUUAUUAUCACUAAGAUACAACACACUCCUUCCACUUGCUCGUUAUUCACGAUUCACAUCAUUUACUCUAUACUUUCCUGCGCAUACACAUACAUAGAGGUACGAAUUUUACUGACCUAUUCUCUCCUCCUCGGUUUGCUAUCCUUACAGGACUUGUCAGAUUGUAUGCUGAAAGGCUCAUUAGGCAUUGACUCAGGAUAACCGACUACGAUGCCCAGAGAGGCAAGAAGUUUUCGAAUGUAAAAAUGUGUCAUUGGAGUUUUCGUAUUGGUACUUCGUUUUCCAGAUUAUGGACCGACUAUAUAUCCUUAAAUAUUAAUUAUAUAAAUUUAAAUACACUUCAAUAUAAACAAUAAAAUAUUCAUAUCCAUUCA